UUGGGAAUAUUGGACAAUGGAGGAAACUCUGAUCCAGUGACGCCGCGUGAAGGAAGAAGGUCUUCGGAUUGUAAACUUAUUUUGUCAGGGAAGAAUAAAAUGACAGUACCUGAAGAAAAAGGACCGGCAAACUACGUGCCAGCAGCCGCGGUAAUACGUAGGGUCCAAGCGUUAUCCGGAUUUACUGGGUGUAAAGGGCGAGUAGACGGCGUUACAAGUCAGAUGUGAAAACUUGGGGCUCAACCUCAAGACUGCAUCUGAAACUGUAAUGCUAGAGUGCAGGAGAGGAAAGUGGAAUUCCUAGUGUAGCGGUGAAAUGCGUAGAUAUUAGGAGGAACACCAGUGGCGAAGGCGACUUUCUGGACUGUAACUGACGUUGAGGCGCGAAAGUGUGGGGAGCAAACAGG
rnacentral:rRNA from 2 species